rnacentral:misc_RNA from 1 species
GCACCACCAGAUGGUCCUCCUGUAAGAAAUCCUUAACUUUAGUCUCCUCCUGUAAGAACUCCUUAACUUUAGUCUCUGUUCAUUUUUCUCAUGGCCUAAAACUAUUUUUUAUGUGACUUUUUUUUCCAAUAAUAGCAUCACACACAUUUUGCAUUUUUGGGUUUCAGUUAAUCUUUUUCUUGGUUAUAUGUUAGACUAUCAUAGAGGAGAUAAAUGUUAAAAGGUUUUGUGCAUCUAUGGUGAUUGGUGAAAUUCAAGAUUCUACUUUUUUCCUAGGUGAUCAAAUACAGCAUUAGUCCAUUAAGAUUGAAGCAUUAUAGGUUGCCUUUUGUUGUCCAUGUGUCUGUAAUUGAUUGAACUUUUAAGCAUGAUCAAUUUUACUUUCAAUUGAGUAGGCCACCCGCCAAGCUACUGUACUAACUUG